rnacentral:tRNA from 1 species
AGAAAGGGAGCAAAUUGGAGCUUGAGAGGAAGCAUCUCAUUUACACUGAGAAUUUAAUUGUGCAAUUCAAUUUA